rnacentral:lncRNA from 1 species
CAGAGGAUCGCCUCGCUGGCCUACUCUCUCCUCCCGUACGGCGCCGGAAUCCCAGCUCCACUUACCAGGCCGCGGCUACCCCGCCGUCCCCCCCGACUCCCGCCACCCCGCUCUCUCAGGCUCUUCAGGAUCCAAGUCCGUAGGCCCUUUAAGGGGUCUAGUUGCCGUUUGCGAGGCCCUGGGACUUUGGUCCCAGACAGCGGGGAUCCGGAUGGCUUCCGUGCGGAUCCGAGAGGCCAAGGAGGGAGACUGUGGAGAUAUCCUGAGGCUGAUUCGGGUGAAGACUGCAGGCCGGUAACCCGGGGGUCAGAGUGGCGCGGCCAGAGCGGGGUCGUAGGAGGCGGGGGCAGGGGGAGGGGCUCGCCUUGGGAACCUGCUCGGGGAGCAGCGGGGCCCUUCUGCUCUAAUCUAGCUUCCGUACCCACGCCUUAGGAGCUAGCCGAAUUCGAAAAACUCUCGGAUCAGGUGAAGAUCAGUGAAGAAGGUGGGGGCUCAGCGCCCAGGUUCUGGCGGAGGCUGGGGAGGAAAUGAGGGAUGGGUUCCCCAGGCGACAGCUCCAGGCUGGGCAUACACCCACGUCCUCUUUCUCUAUCUCUUUGUCACAACUCCAAUCUCGGCAGCCCUGAGAGCAGAUGGCUUUGGAGACAAUCCUUUCUAUCACUGUUUGGUAGCAGAGAUUCUUCCAGCGCCCGGGAAGCUACUGGGGCCCUGCGUGGUGGGCUAUGGGAUAUACUAUUUCAUCUACAGUACAUGGAAGGGACGCACCAUUUAUCUGGAGGAUAUCUAUGUGAUGCCGGAAUAUC